rnacentral:rRNA from 1 species
CUGCCCCUACGGGGCGCAGCAGUCGGGAAUAUUGCGCAAUGGAGGAAACUCUGACGCAGCGACGCCGCGUGCAGGAAGAAGGUUUUCGGAUUGUAAACUGCUUUAGACAGGGAAGAAAAAAGACAGUACCUGUAGAAUAAGCUCCGGCUAACUACGUGCCAGCAGCCGCGGUAAGACGUAGGGAGCAAGCGUUAUCCGGAUUUAUUGGGUGUAAAGGGUGCGUAGACGGGAAUGCAAGUUGGUUGUGAAA